UAUAGUGUAUAAAUAAUGUUUUUAAAGUACGGGUUCCAAAUGAUAUUAGUCCUUGUCCGGAUGAACCAACUAUUGGGUAUUACUCUUAAGGUUGUAAAGCCUCGGGUUGUACCUAAUAGGAUAUGUGUACUUAGGCGGUUGGCCUAAGGUACCUGGAUUUAUUUUGGGAACUUCGGGUUAGUCGUUUAUGUACACAUUGUGGCUUCUCGG
rnacentral:lncRNA from 1 species